rnacentral:rRNA from 1 species
AACGAACGCUGGCGGCAUGCCUAACACAUGCAAGUCGAACGAGACCUUCGGGUCUAGUGGCGCACGGGUGCGUAACGCGUGGGAAUCUGCCCUUCGGUUGGGAAUAACUGAGAGAAAUUUCAGCUAAUACCUUAUAAUGUCUUCGGACCAAAGAUUUAUCGCCGAGGGAUGAGCCCGCGUAGGAUUAGGUAGUUGGUGGGGUAAUGGCCUACCAAGCCGACGAUCCUUAGCUGGUCUGAGAGGAUGAUCAGGCACACUGGGACUGAGACACGGCCCAGACUCCUACGGGAGGCAGCAGUGGGGAAUAUUGGACAAUGGGCGAAAGCCUGAUCCAGCAAUGCCGCGUGAGUGAUGAAGGCCUUAGGGUUGUAAAGCUCUUUUACCCGGGAUGAUAAUGACAGUACCGGGAGAAUAAGCUCCGGCUAACUCCGUG